rnacentral:rRNA from 1 species
CCUACGGGAGGCAGCAGUGGGGAAUAUUGGUCAAUGGGCGCAAGCCUGACCCAGCAACGCCGCGUGAAGGAUGACGGCUUUCGGGUUGUUAACUUCUUUUUCGAGGGAAGUGCAGAAGACGGUACCUCUUGAAUAAGCCACGGCUAACUACGUGCCAGCAGCCGCGGUAAUACGUAGGUGGCCAGCGUUGUCCGGAUUUCCUGGGUGUAAAGGGCGUGUAGCCGGGAAGACAAGUCAGAUGUGAAAUCCCGCGGCUCAACCGCUGAACUGCAGUUGAAACUGUUUUUCUUGAGUACCGGAGAGGUCAUCGGAAUGCGUUGUGUAGCGGUGAAAUGCGUAGAUAGAAGGAAGAACACCAGUGGCGAAGGCGGAAUACUGGACGGCAACUGACGGUGAGGCGCGAAAGCGUGGGGAGCAAACAGGAUUAGAUACCCCAGUAGUC